AGGCCUCGGCCUGCUCGAGGAGCCGCGGGAGGGGAAGCCGGGCCAGGCCGCCCCCGCGUCCCCCACACCCGCCAGGCCAGAGGGCAGCGGCACGGCCUGGCGGAGGGGCUCCCGGUGCCGCCCCCGCGGGAGAGGCCGGCUCUGGACACCUAACGGUUUUCGGGCGCUGAGUGGUGACACAAUAGGCGUGUGCCAACUGAACCGGGUAAUGGCUCUGCGUGGAAGUGAAGCCGAAGGAGAAUUGGAUACUACGCAAAUGUCUGGCAGCAAAUACGGCCCGGCGCCGCCAGGCCCAGCCCUCAGCAGGGAGCUGUGCAAGCUACAAAUGUGGAACAGUGUCCCCGCGGCUGUGGUGGGCUGUCGUUGAACCGUGGCCGUUGGUGGUGCAACGCACGAGCUGACAGUGGAGCUUUUGCACCAAAUGCUUUCAAGGGAGAGCAACGCUUUUUCUGUAGUGCCCAGUGACAGGACUGGGGGUAACGGAUAUGAGCUGGGACACAAGAAGUUGCACUUGAACAGAGGAAAAAACUCCUUUGCUUUUCAGGUAUAUGGCCCAGAACCCCAAAGUGGAUUAAAAUUACAGCUGGCACAAAACACAGCCUCCCACAGAUGGAGAUACCAACGCAGACAACUGUCAGAUGCAGCUCCUGCCGCACAGUGAACCUAGAGCAGAACGUGCUGCUGAGAACCGCCAUCCAUCUGCCUUUUAUAUCCUCCCCAGAAGCUGCCAAUCCAGGGGGGACCACAGCCAACAGAAGCUUUACAAUUCAAAUGUUUUUUAAAUCACUGCCUACCUGGUUUAGAAACACACAAAAGAAUAACUGUAAUGAUCCCCUUUCC